CAGUAGCCGCGGGAAUACGUAGGUGGCAAGCGUUGUCCGGAAUUAUUGGGCGUAAAGGGCUCGCAGGCGGUUUCUUAAGUCUGAUGUGAAAGCCCCCGGCUCAACCGGGGAGGGUCAUUGGAAACUGGGAAACUUGAGUGCAGAAGAGGAGAGUGGAAUUCCACGUGUAGCGGUGAAAUGCGUAGAGAUGUGGAGGAACACCAGUGGCGAAGGCGACUCUCUGGUCUGUAACUGACGCUGAGGAGCGAAAGCGUGGGGAGUGAACAGGAUUAGAUACCCGCGUAGUCCCUGUCUCUUAUAC
rnacentral:rRNA from 1 species